rnacentral:lncRNA from 1 species
AAUAAAUGCGGGGAUGCCUCGGCUCGGAGCAGUCGGCCUCCUCCCUCCGCGAGCUGGACGCUCCGCAGCCCGCCCGCCAGCCGGCCCGCCGGCCGCCGCAGGAAUCCCUGGAUAAAGACCAGCUCAACCAUCGCUGAGAAAACAGACCUAGGCUUCCCAGGGCGGUUAACCCGCCGGCCUCUGGGCAGAGACUAAAAGACAAAACAAAAUAAAACAACAACAAAAAACUCCCAGUGUGUUUCCUACUCUUCUUUGUCUUGGAGGAAAGCAAAGGGAGAGAAAUGGACUUCACCAGUGGUCUUUGGCUUCAUCAAUUCACAGGAAAUGGCAUCAAGAUGGUUCAACUAAGACAUGAUCACUAAAAACAUUAUAAUAAUACCUUUUUGAAAAACUCAGUUUCUCCUGUUUACUAAAUAUUUAUUUCAUCAACAUGGGCUGCGUUCCACUGUGUCAGGAUUCUGCAUGUGGGUGGAGCACUGUUCCAGCCUGAGAAGAUGGUUCUGAGGCCACUUAGCAAGACAUUUUCCAGCAUGAGCAGGUUUCUCUGUGGAAAUAGUGACACCUGUUCUGGUGUGUUGUCUUUCCUCAGGGAACUUAAGGGGUACAAAGCUCCUGAAAAUGUUCUUUAUGCUGGUUGAAGCUCUUAUGUCGCUGUACUGAUUCCCUACGAUGCAGAUUUGAAUCACAGAGUAAUUAAAAUAUGGAUCAAAUAAGGCUGGGGCUCACCAAGGCUGAAAGCUGUAGCCAUUCAAGGCAUCAUUUCUGUCAUGAAAAUAUAGGACCUUUUCAAAACAUGCCUUCAGGAAGGUGUUCUCUUUUCAAACAAAAGUCUAAUGACUGCAUAACUCUUCUUGACCACAUCUUACACUUUCUCUAGACUUGCUUAUUUACAGCUACUGGAACAAAAAGAUGAAAUGAAUAAAGCACACUGAUUGUCCUAAGAGUCUUCUGUGACUAAAAGCACAUGAGCUUCUCCCCAGGCUGAGCUUUGACCCUCCCAAGCAUUUCCCCAAAGGCCAUGACACUGCAUCAGAUUGCUCCUGGACACUUUCCUCAGAGUUUUCAACAAAUAUAAACUGAGGAGUGGAGCACAGCACCAGAUUUGCUAAUCAAGAGGCAAUGGUCCCAGUCCAAAUGGGUGCUGUGUGUGAAUACAGAGCCCAGGAGAAGGGAAGGAGGUCUGUGAACAUCAGGAAUUGCAAAAUCUUGCUGAACCAAUAGACCAACAGCCAUUAACAUUUGUCAAUGCAAAGAUCCUAAAAUAUACAAGUGUGGAGUUGUCCUGCCCUAAGAGCUGAAGCUGUGACAAUCACGCUGCCAUGGAUCAAUAUUUCCAGCAAAGGAGUCCACACUCAAGAUACACUGCUACGUCUCACUUUUUCCUUGACACAACAAUUUAUUUUAUAAAUGCAUCUGCUGGAGAAGAAAAGGCAGUACCAAGGAUUGUGUCUUUUAUCUCCAGGAUAUGCAAAGCGCAUUUAUUUUCAGCUUUUAUCUCUGGAAUUGUAUGUUGAUCCCAUACAUAUAGAUUGAUUUUGUUCAGGUAGAUAAUGAAAAGUCAAGUGGAAAAUUACACAAUGGCAUUCACGAUCCUAGUCUUAUAUCAGUAUAUAAAUUGGUUUAUUAUUUCAUUCUAUUAAAGAGGCUUUUUUUUGGUACCAGGAAAACUUCAAAAUGCAUUGUGUUGUCAGCCUCACUGAAUUUUCUUUUGGAGGAGGAGGUAGGGAGGGGAAGCCAAAGCCCCGAUUUCUCCUGCUCCUUUUGCUAAUUGUAUUGGCUAAAUGAGCUUUCACAGAGGGGGGUCCUGGCUGCUUUUUGCUCUCCCCCAGACCACUUGUAGGUUGCACACAGGGCUUCUAUAACUCUUUCUGAGUCAGGACAAAGAUAUCCGCCGUGCACACCCUGUGACAUAGGUGGAUAUUUAUUUCAUCCCGGGCAAUUCUAAAUUUUGUCAUGAUGACUGAAAGAGGCAAUCCCCUCCUGAGCAUUAAGAGGCCAGGGGUGAGAGGGUGGCAGCAUAGAAAAGCCACCACCCAGAGACAGCUUGGAGCCAUGAUCCUGGAGGAAAUGUUAUUAAUAAACAUCUUUUGGACAUUUGGUAGCCCGUGGAGCUUGCUCCAGCUUAAAGCAAUUAAUUCAGGACACUGACAUAAACUCUCCAGAUCUUUGACAGCUUGGAGCCGAAAUAAAAAUGCUAGUUCUCCGGGGAAGAGAAGAGGAUGGCUAGCCCUUUUCUGGACUGUUUGCUUAUAGGCCCAGAGAGCAACCUUCCUUGCAGAAUGAAAUGCAAGGGCACAAACAAUGUACCAGGGAGAGAAUAGAAGAUGGGAAUGAACAGUUUGAACUAUUUGCUCAGCAGAAGGGCACCACAAUGCUGGGGUAGUGGUUUUCCCAUGCGUCCACUGUCCCUUCUUUGGGAUCUUUUGUUGUCCCCUGUCUCCUUUGGCCAGAUAAAAGCACAGCUGCAGCAUUGCAGAUAACAAGUAGGCCGUACUUAUCCCCCUAAAUCUCGGGGUGCCUUUACUGUAACAAGUUAUGCUCGGCUCUCUUUUAUUUUACAAGAGGAUGGUGAGGGAGAGAAUGGAAGAACAGAGGGGGCGGACGUAUAAGACAUUUGACACUGCCUAUGUCUGAUUUCUCUUUCUUUCUUUCUUUCUUUCUUUCUUUCUUUCUUUCUUUCUUUCCUUUCUUUCUUUCUUGCAAGCUGUGAUCGGAUGCAAUCUUUGUGGGACAUUUAAAUGGAAGGGUUCAUUGAUGUGUAUUGCUUGCCAAGCCAAAAUGUUGCCUUUGGGGAAAAGGGAGAGAGGUGUUCAUGGAGUGCAGGGAAAGGAGGUUUUGGGGCAGAGAUUUUGACUUAAAAUAACCAGACUUCUUCUGGCUGCUGAAAAGAGGCAAAAGUUUUAAAUUGUCAAGUUUAAAACUAUGUUCAGUUAUGAUUUGCCACUUCUGAAUAUUAUUUUGGAUUUCCCCUUUCAUGCUUAUUUUGUUCAGAAUCCUAAUGAAUAGAGGUUGCUGGACUCAGGGUAAAAGCAGGAUGAACUGGAGAUGGGACAUACAAGGUACUUUUGGAAUUGCCAUAGAUUACACCUAUAAUCAGAGUAAAUGUCAUCAACAAAUAAUCAAAAUAUUUUUUACAUUUGCUCUUCUAAAAUCAGAGCCUAUUUUAAAUAUAAAAGAAAGUAGAUGUGAUAAUAAUAUAAACUACAGUCACAUUAAGUUGAUAUUAAAUUCAAAAUCUAACAUAGAUUUGCACUGUUGGGUGUGUGUUCCGAAUCAGUGGGUUUUCCCACUGAUGUUGAUUUCGGGAGCCAGGCUUCAAUGUUUAAUUCUAUUGUAAUGUGGUUAUUUAGCCUGAAUGGUUUUAUAAGGUGGAAAGGCAAAAAAUUUAAUUCCGAAGAAAACUAGUGUUUUACUAUGACUGUGGUAAACAUUUCCAAAGCCCACCUGUGGGAAAUACAAAGUUUUAAUGCUGUGUGUUUUUUUGUUUUUGUAUUUUGUCUCAUCGACAAAACUGGCAGAAAAAAACGCUUUCGUAUAUUUUUCCUGCUGGGUGGUCAGAAGGAAAGGCCGUGAAGCUAAAGGUCUCCCACUGAGACGCUGUUCUGCAAGGAGCCGACCUCACGUGCCGCCGCCGCCAGAGAAGAGAGCACCUGUUCAUCUCGGCUCACUGUGAGGCUGAGCUCAGCGCUGGCAGGCGAGGGGCCGCAAGCAUCCCCCACAGCCACCGAGAGGGCAUCCCUGCAGGGAAAUCAUAUCCGACAUGCCUGUGCCCACAGCAGACUUAAGACUGCCUCUAAAAUGUCCAUGAAGCCAUUGUCCAGUAGAGCUGUUAGUUUUAACACCAGUGAGUAUUACCUUUGGUUAAAAGGAUGCAUGUGUAUAGGUGUAUGUGUGUGCGUGUGUGUUUGUGUUUUUGGACUUGUGUGGAGAAUGAAGAAAGGGUUCCAUUUAGGCAUUUGCAAAUAUUCGAUGGCAUCAUGAAAAGACAAAAAAAUCCUAUAAAAUAUAUCAUAUUUUGCUAUGAUUUUGUGUGUACAUGUAAUAAAAUUAUUAAGUAUAAA